AUAGCUCAACAUAAUCCAGGCCCAGAUACAACAUUUACAAAAUUACUGGGUCCAAGAUUCAAAUUACUGGAUAAAUAAAAUUCAGAGUUACUAUGUACCAUCAAAAAACCACACCAAAUCCAGAAAAUGUUAUUAAACGACAAAAGGCAGACUAGGAAGCAAAUAGAUAACAGAAAAAACGAGCCAGUAGAGGACUAGUCUAUGCAGUACCUGUAAACAUACAUCAAUUAAAGGAGUAUUUAAAAGAAUACAAACGGUGUAACAGAAAAGUGAGUUGAGGACAUGAAGAAAAUAAUCAGCAGAUGGAGUCCAGAGGCAGAGCCGUGGAUUGUACUCACCUGCAGCGGGCCACUGGAGCUUGAAACCUCAGCGUGCUCACAGGCACUGGACAGGUGAGGCAGGAGGGCCUCCAGGAGGUGGGCCCACAGGAGGGCGCCUGCCUGCAGCUUCAGGGAGGCGCUGGGCUUCAGACCUGAACUCAAACCUCCAUCCCCACGGGCCCCACCGACACAGAGGAUUCUGAUUGGUUGCGUCUCCUGUUACGUCAUGCUGACUCAGCGGCUGUGCCAACUGUGCCCUCAGCAGGCACCCUCCUAGCAACACCAGGAAAUCUCGCGGGAUUGCAGAAGUGUUCUGCUGACCGGCGGAGACAGGCGGUGAGCGGCUCAGAUCUGCUCUCCGCGGUCUGUCUUCGCUUCAGGACUCGGCAAGGAGGGUGUCGGGACACGUUGGGAGCUGGGGGAUGGUAAAGUUAUAGACAGAGAGAGAUACAGAGCACUUGGGCCAUCCUCCACUGCCCUCCCAGGCACAGCAAAGAGCUGGACUGGAAGAGUAGCAACCGGGACUAGAACCCAGCACCCAUAUCAUCACCAGAGUUUUAAUGUAAAAUAUUGGUUUAUGACAUCACAAUAGAUUUUAUAUUACUAUUAAUUAUAAUAUAAUGGUAUUUUAUGACAGCUCAAUUGAUUAUGAUGUCACAAGUUCAACUUAUGAUGUUAUAAUUGUUUUGUAACUUCACAGUUGAUUAUGACAUUAAAGGGUAUGUUUAGUUUAUCACAAUGAUGGAUUAUUAUAUAUUCAUUACAAAUGUAAUUUUACAAAAUUACAAUUAAUUGUGACAUAACAAUGAUAGCCUUAUAACAGCAUGAUGGUUUUUAUGUCAUGAAAUUUUGGAUUGUUACAUCACAAGGGUUUCUGUGACAUCACAAUUUAUGAUAACAUCAUAAUAGUAUUCUAUGAUAUAACAACUGAUAAUGAAGUCACAAUACCAAGUUUAUGAUCUCAAAGUGGUUUUAAUGACCUCAGAAUUGACUAUAUUAUCACAAUGGUAGAUUUAUUAUAUCAUAAUGGUUUAUCAUGCCCGAGUUAUGAUAUCAUGAGGUUUUUUUCAACGAUCACAAUUGAUUAUAACAAUGGUAACUUUAUGACAUCACAGUGAUUUUUAUAUUGUCACAAUAGAUUUUCACUUCAAAUUUAUUUUAUGACAUCAGAAUUCAAUAUAAUAUGAAAAUAAUGUCUAUGAUAGGUUACUUAUCACAGUAGUUGGUUACAACAUCAUAAUGGUAGUUCAUAAUAAUACAAUUCAUUAUCAUGUCACAAUGAUAGCUUAUGACAUCACUAUGGUGGUUUUAUGAAUCUGUUUGGUAGACUUAUAGCAAGUAAAUUGCUUAAUGACAUCACAAACAUUGAUUUUUGACAUCACAAUAGAAGACUUAAGACAUCACCAUGGUUUUAAUAAUAGGUUUUUAC
ensembl:lncRNA